rnacentral:rRNA from 1 species
GACGAACGCUGGCGGCGUGCUUAACACAUGCAAGUCGAACGGAAAGGCCCUGCUUUUGUGGGGUGCUCGAGUGGCGAACGGGUGAGUAACACGUGAGUAACCUGCCCUUGACUUUGGGAUAACUUCAGGAAACUGGGGCUAAUACCGGAUAGGAGCUCCUGCUGCAUGGUGGGGGUUGGAACGUUUCGGCGGUUGGGGAUGGACUCGCGGCUUAUCAGCUUGUUGGUGGGGUAGUGGCUUACCAAGGCUGUGACGGGUAGCCGGCCUGAGAGGGUGACCGGCCACAUUGGGACUGAGAUACGGCCCAGACUCCUACGGGAGGCAGCAGUGGGGAAUAUUGCGCAAUGGGCGGAAGCCUGAUGCAGCAACGCCGCGUGCGGGAUGACGGCCUUCUGGUUGUAAACCGCUUUCGCCUGUGACGAAGCGUGAGUGACGGUAAUGGGUAAAGAAGCACCGGCUAACUACGUG